ACAUAUCCCUUUCUCUU
rnacentral:sRNA from 1 species